UGGAGCAGGAGGCGAGGUUUGGUAGCAAGAACUUCCAGGCACAGGGCUGUAGUAGGCCCCUCUCUUAAUGGUAACCAGGACCGAAAUCGGGUUUCACAACCUACUUGUUUUAGGGUGGAAAAACUUGAAUUUCCACAACCAAGUGCCACACAGUUGCUGUACCCGGGGCCAUCCCGGGAGCUGUGAGAUAAUGAGCCGGUGAGACUCUGCUCCACCCUGGGAAGGUGAGCUAGUCUAGAGGAGCAUAUCUGAUGGGGACAAGAAGUCUCAAAAAGGCUGUGUGGUGUGUAGAGAAGGGGAGGGACUCUACUGUUGAGGCUUCAGUAUUUUAGCACUUGCCCAGCACCUCCUUCUCUCUUCCAGCUGCCUCUUGAGUCACUGCCCGGUUUAGGGAGCAGUAACAUAAACCAAACAGUUGCCUCCAAAAUACGCAUUCUGAGGAGGAUUCAGUCACCGAUUCAGAUCCAAGCUUGAAAUUUUUACGUGGCAUGUGAGCCUUCCGUGUCAUCAUGACUUACUAAUUUAUGUGAAUGUAGAAAUGCAACGACAAAGACUGGGCUGAAUCUUAAUCAUUGGCAAAUGGUGUGCAUUAUCCCCAAACAAUUAUGUGGUCGAUAGCGUAUAUACUCGAUAUGUACAAAGAUUUUCUCAGAAAUUAAAAGUCUUUCUCUGAAGUAGUUUUCCUGUGGGGAGGGGAAAAAAACACCAUAGGUUCUAAUGAAUACAUCAUACAUCGCUGAUAUUUAUUAUACUAAUAACUGAAAGUAAAUUUGAGGCCUUUGGAGACAGUCGUUUUUAAAUUUGGGAAUACAAAAAAAGAUGAUGCUGAUGAGAAAUUAGUAAAGAAUCCUGAGGUUUAUGGAUCCUCAGACAGGAAGAAGUAAGAGGAAGGUCAAUGCAGGAUCUUACAGGGAUUUGGUUUUGUAGUUCUUAUUGCUUAAAUUUGCUUCCAGGUGGCAGCUGUAAUUGCAAGGUGACUCACAUACAGUGUUUAUAUUCACCUGAGGCCGACCUGAGUUCUAGUUGAGGUUCUUAGAGCUCUGUCACUGUAUCCAGCAGAGCCUGAAUUACUAGAUAGUUAACACCCUCAGAAAGCCCUGUUUGUAUAUUAACUUUAGACAACCUUAUUAUUAAAAGUGUUGCUAUUGUUUAGGCAAAAUUUAAUUUUUGCAAAAUGGUUUAUAAUAAUUUAUUAGGCAACAUUGAAGACUUGCUUCUGAAUAAAGUCUGUAGGUUUUAUAAAGGAAAUCAGUCACUUAGUGGCAGCUACAGACAAAGCUCACACUUUUUAAAAAUUAACAAAAGUAAAAUGAUGAAAAAUAAAUUGGAUUCCAUUGCUAUCUAAACUCUAUAUUCCAGUUUUUCUGCUUUUUAAGUAACCAACACUGCUCGUGUUAGAAUUCUGAAUUUAUGAAGUCCCUUACAGAACAUUUUUCUCUGUACUAAAACACAGCUUGAGAGUCUGUUAUCUGAACUCUGGGUCUUUAGGUCUUUCUAGAGCCAAGUUUCAGGUCUAUGUACAGAUGAACAAUUCUGAAAUACACUCUACACACUGAGGAACCUUCAGUAACACCACAUUACCUACAGAAUAAAAUCCAAAUUGUGUCUUGCUCACCACAGGUUGGUUUCAGUCUUUCUUUUCAGCUUCAUCUCUUACUUCUCCGCUUCAGGGACCCCAUCUACUGUCCCCCAAAUGUACUGACUCAUUUCUUUUUCAGAGUCUUUGACUACACUCUCCCAUCUUUUCUUCACCUGUCUGAUUCCAGUCAAUCUUUCAAGACUCAGCUCAUUUCAAACCUCCUCAGAGGAUCCUUUCCUGACUUCCACUCUCCUAGCCGUCAUUGGCAAAGCCAUGUCCUCAUGCACAGUCAUGGGGCAUGGCCGAGGAUUAUAUAAGAAGAGCUGUUCCUAGUGCAGUUGGCGCCUGCAGGAAACCAUGAUGUGGCAUCUACAAAGCUCAUCGCAGAUCAAGUCUUCAGCAGACAUCAUGUGACCUUGAGGAUGGAUGUCACAUGCUGGAGGAAACAGAAGGCCGAAACCCUGAUGACUUCACGGAGCUGCCAAAACAGUUCCUGACUGUUUACUCCGGGACUUUAACAAAGUGAUAAAAAUAAAUCCUUACAGUAUGAAAA